CAUCGCUUCAGGGCGGGGUGUAAUUCCCCACCGGUGGUAAAUUGGACGGAUUUUCAAUCCUGAGCCAACAGCCCACGAGCUUAUCACGCUUAAUCGUGAUUCGCAGAUUUGGUGAAAUGCCAAAGCCGACGGUAUAGUCCGGAUGAAAGAAGACGACG
rnacentral:ncRNA from 2 species